GACGAACCGAGCGAACGUUGUUCGGAAUCACUGGGCUUAAAGGGCGCGUAGGCGGGUGCUCAAGUCCGGGGUGAAAUCCCACAGCUCAACUGUGGAAUUGCCUCGGAUACUGGGUGUCUCGAGGGUGGUAGGGGUAUGCGGAACUAUCGGUGGAGCGGUGAAAUGCGUUGAUAUCGAUAGGAACUCCGGUGGCGAAGGCGGCAUACUGGACCACUUCUGACGCUGAGGCGCGAAAAGCCAGGGGAGCGAACGGGG
rnacentral:rRNA from 1 species